rnacentral:tRNA from 1 species
GAAAAAUUAGUUAAAUAAUAACUUCAGCUUGUCAUGCUGAGAUUGCUUUUUAUAAGCAUUUUUCU